GUACCCGUAGCUCAGCGGAUAGAGCACCGGUGUUCGAAACCGGGUGUCGGGGGUUCGAAUCCCUCCGGGUGCA
rnacentral:tRNA from 1 species